ACAGCUUCUGGGCCUUUUGGCUAAGAUCAAGUCGAGUAUCUGUUAUCAGUUUAACAUUUGAUACUGACGCAGUGUUGUCAUCUCACACCGAGGAAAUCAAA
rnacentral:snRNA from 1 species